rnacentral:rRNA from 1 species
UACGUAGGGUGCGAGCGUUAAUCGGAAUUACUGGGCGUAAAGCGUGCGCAGGCGGUUCGUUGUGUCGGCGGUGAAAGCCCGGGCUUAACCUGGGAAUGGCCGUUGAAACUGGCGAACUGGAGUGUGGCAGAGGGGGUGGAAUUCCGCGUGUAGCAGUGAAAUGCGUAGAGAUGCGGAGGAACACCGAUGGCGAAGGCAGCCCCUGGGCUAACACUGACGCUCAGGCACGAAAGCGUGGGGAGCAAACAGG